ACCUGUGUGGCUCAGUCAGUUCAGCGUCCGACUUCGGCUCAGGUCAUGAUCUUGCAGUCUGUGAGUUCGAGUCCCGCCACAGGCU
rnacentral:tRNA from 1 species